ACCUCCGGACUGGGGUUCGCAAGCUUCACGGCGAACGUACCUCGGGAAGUUGGUUAAACCUCACUAUUUAGAGGAAGGUGAAGUCGCAACAAGGUCUCCGUAGGUGAACCUGCAGAAGGAUC
rnacentral:rRNA from 1 species